GAUGCUAUGAUGAGAUGAGACACCUAUGGUGUGUUUUAGGGCAGUGGGAUUGGGGGCAUUAUUAUUAUGUCUCUGCCGUGAGCCUUUUUAAUAAACGACUUCUCCUUCCACUGAGCACA